GUUUAAAAGCUAAAUCAAAGCCAUAAAACAAGCCUUACAUUAUAUUGUGAAGGAUGUCCAAGAAUGUCCAAAGCAGAGUCCUUAUACGUGUUUAAUGUGUUGAUAGUCCAAGUCCAACAAGGCUCAAGUCCACUUGAUCAAAACCUUAGCUCACUUGAAUCAACAUGUGACAACAGUGUGUCUUGUGGAGGAAAAUUUGAAGAGGCGCCAUAUCCAAUCAUUAAUGAUGUGAUUCCCAGUCAGAUUUGAAGCAUCCCGAAGUCAACAAACGGUUAGAUUUGGAACCAAGAGAGGCGUGAUCUUCUAUUGACUUUGAAGGCUCCCUUGAUUGCUCAAGAUUUGAUCUACACUAGGUUUCCGAUUUUGUGGAGAAUCUGAUUUGUUUCCUUUUGGUUGAGUCAAUAAUAUCUAAUUUUCAAUUUUAUAUUUUCAUUAAUUGGGAUCAGAAUGAUCAAGUCGCGUUGGUGGUUUUUUACUUCGUUUACCAUAUGUAGAUGCCUUUGCUGCGGAGCUAUGGGCUUUCAUCAUGGGUUUGAAGUACGCUUGGGACAGAGGUUUCAAAGAGUGUUUGCUUCUAAGUGAUUGUAGUGAAGUUCUCACUCAGAUUCGCAGUGGUAACUUGGAUCUGCAUCAAUAUCAAUCCAAGAUCUUGGAAGCUCGAAGUCUUCUUCAAUGCGACCGGAACAUUUCGAUCAAUCUUAUGCCCCAAGAGGACAACCGUGAAGCAAAUCUUUGCACCAAGAGAGCUCUGGAAUCUACUCCAGGACUUCACUUUUUCCUUCCCGAGGACCUUCAUCGGAUUGUCUAGUUUGAGCCACAGUAGUGGCAUGAAUUUAUGAUUUCCAGCAGCGACUUCUACCACUUCAUCGACGAACAAUGGCCAGGCGCAAUGUUCGUUUGUAGUCCUAGCUUCAUGCCUAAUGACCCCUCCUUACACCUUUCAUCUUCAACCUCCUUACACUCCAUCUUUAAGGAUCGAUUUUUUGCUUCAGUAAGUUGCCUGAGUUCACUCUCUCUCGCCUCCUUUUCUAGGGGUGCUUCCAGAUUUGAUAAUGAUGAUGUCAUCUUCAUUAGUGGUAGUCCCAGAGGCUAUGUCGAAGCUGUUACGGAAGAGUUCUUUCAGUAGGUCCAACUUUUCCAUGGCAUUCCCUUGUGUUUCAGCGUCAGAGGAGGAGAAAUUGGAAAAUUCGUUGGUCUCAGGAUUUUCUAAAGCAUGUGGAGAUGAUUUAGAAAUUGGUGAUGUUGCUUUCCUUGGAUCUUGUUCCAGGGAGGAUUUAAAUCAUAAAGAAAAUGCUCAUGUGCAUUCAAUUCAAGUAAUAAAAAAACUAUGUGUCAUCACUUAUUAUGGAAUUUUGGAUCUUGUAAUGAUGAUCUGAUUCUUUUUUGCCUGUUAUAACUGCUAGGAUUUUCUGAGCAAGUGGAUGGAAGAGAGUCACAAAGGGGCUACAUAUGUAGUUGUCUUUUGUAAUGUAGACUCUCUGCCGGAAGAAAAUGUUAUUA